rnacentral:misc_RNA from 1 species
UUUUGACUCGAGGUCAGCAAUUUCUUUUUUACAGAUCUCCAAAUGUCUUGGCCCCAUUGCAAUGGGUCGGGCCUUAGUAGGUAUUUUCUGUUUCAUCAAAACUGGGUUCAUAUGGUAGAUUAACCACAUGGCUUUUUCUAGCCCAAAAGGCAUUGGGGAUUUCUGCACAGAUGCUAUUAGCCAUUUCAUUAAAUAAUUCUUUUAUUUUUGUUUGUAUUAAAGGUUCAUUAACCUUUUCUUG